rnacentral:lncRNA from 1 species
CCAAGUCUGUUAGAUUCAAAGCUAUCUUUAAUAACAAAAGGGAUAUCUUUCCACAAGGUGAGCCUAUCUAAAUUAAGACCAACAUUAGCCAAUCUAUCUGCACAAUGGUUACCCUCUCUAAAAAUAUGAGAUACAAUAAUGUUCAUGUGACCUGCAAGCUUAAUAUAGUUGAACCAACGAUUACUUAAAGACCAAGGCACCAGAUUUGAGGAUUUGUAGGCAUUCACUACAAGCAUUGAAUCUGACUCAAUCCACAUAUUUCUCCAACCUCUAGCAUCUGCAAUUUCAAUUGCAGUCAUAAAACCACAAAGCUCUGCACUGAAAGCAGAGGCCAUGUCUGUUUUAGAAGCAAACGCGCACAAGAACUCUGCAUUGCUAUUUCUAAAAAUUCCNNNNNNNNNNNNUUACCAUGAAUGCUUUGAGCAUAGAAAAAUCAGAAAUGGUACCAGAAGAAAGGGCUUUGGUAUGAUUACCUGCUAAAACUACAUUUGCAGCAACCCAAGACAUAGAAGAUUUCCAGUUAGGCCUUUUAUCCUUGAACCUUGCAUUGUUUCUUGCUAUCCAGAUGGCAUAAAGAACAUUGAUUAUUGCAGAUUUGAUUACUAUCCUGCACUGAGGGGACCUCGCUCUAUCACAAAGACUCCAAAUAUCCUCCAUGGAUUGGAACUGCAACACUAGAUUUAAACAAGUUGCCAGCCAACGCCAAAGGCCAAAAGCAAAUUCACACUCAGAAUAAAUGAAAUAAAGUUUCAGUAUGAAUUUUACAAAGAGAACACAUAGAAGGCAAGCAAAAACCACGAUCCAUU